rnacentral:tRNA from 1 species
AGAGCAUUCUCUUUCAAGAGAGAAUCGCAAUUAAAUAAAGGGAAGUUCAAAAGCAAGCCUUUAAGGUCUUGAUUCUUAAUGUCAAUUCGAUAAAUUACAGUAUUAAAGUAAAAAGUUGAAAAGUAGAAAGUAGUAUUGCUUUGUGACUUUUAACUGGUAAACUUUAAAACUGUUAUGGACAGUCUCAUAGCUCAGCUGGUUAGAGCGCUACACUGAUAAUGUAGAGGUCGGCAGUUCGAGUCUGCCUGAGACUACAACGGGUCAUCAGGCCACAGAAGUUCAUUUGAAAUAACAAAAAGGAAAUUUUAGAGGUUGAGUAGCCGUUAUAAGUACAGUUAACUGAUAACUGUUAACUGAUCACUGAAAAUGGGGGAUUAGCUCAGCUGGCUAGAGCGCCUGCCUUGCACGCAGGAGGUCAUCGGUUCGACUCCGAUAUUCUCCACCAGGCAAUGCCUGGAGAUCUGAAAGAUAAUCUUCAGAGUUUGCAGUGGGAAGCAUAGAUUGUUUAUAGGUCUAUCGCGACUCGCGAUCGUUCAUUGACAUAUUGAGAAAUAAAGAAUACGAGAAACUAACGCUUAUUAUGUGAUAGGGUUUGUAAGAAUUCUAUUGUAAUAAUAGCAAAACAAAAAAGUUAACGACCAUCGUUAAGGUGGUUGUGCGAGCAUAUUAGGUAAAAAGCA